GAUGAACGCUGGCGGCGUGCCUAAUACAUGCGAGUCGAGCGAACGGACGAGAAGCUUGCUUCUCUGAUGUUAGCGGCGGACGGGUGAGUAACACGUGGAUAACCUACCUAUAAGACUGGGAUAACUUCGGGAAAAAGGAGCUAAUACCGGAUAAUAUUUUGAACCGCAUGGUUCAAAAGUGAAAGACGGUCUUGCUGUCACUUAUAGAUGGAUCCGCGCUGCAUUAGCUAGUUGGUAAGGUAACGGCUUACCAAGGCAACGAUGCAUAGCCGACCUGAGAGGGUGAUCGGCCACACUGGAACUGAGACACGGUCCAGACUCCUACGGGAGGCAGCAGUAGGGAAUCUUCCGCAAUGGGCGAAAGCCUGACGGAGCAACGCCGCGUGAGUGAUGAAGGUCUUCGGAUCGUAAAACUCUGUUAUUAGGGAAGAACAUAUGUGUAAGUAACUGUGCACAUCUUGACGGUACCUAAUCAGAAAGCCACGGCUAACUACGUG
rnacentral:rRNA from 1 species